rnacentral:rRNA from 1 species
AGUAGAAGGAGUUGCGAACGGGUGAGUAACGCGUAGGUAACCUGCCUACUAGCGGGGGAUAACUAUUGGAAACGAUAGCUAAUACCGCAUAACAGUGUUUAACACAUGUUAGAUGCUUGAAAGAUGCAAUUGCAUCACUAGUAGAUGGACCUGCGUUGUAUUAGCUAGUUGGUGGGGUAACGGCCCACCAAGGCGACGAUACAUAGCCGACCUGAGAGGGUGAUCGGCCACACUGGGACUGAGACACGGCCCAGACUCCUACGGGAGGCAGCAGUAGGGAAUCUUCGGCAAUGGGGGCAACCCUGACCGAGCAACGCCGCGUGAGUGAAGAAGGUUUUCGGAUCGUAAAGCUCUGUUGUAAGAGAAGAACGUGUGUGAGAGUGGAAAGUUCACACAGUGACGGUAACUUACCAGAAAGGGACGGCUAACUACGUGCCAGCAGCCGCGGUAAUACGUAGGUCCCGAGCGUUGUCCGGAUUUAUUGGGCGUAAAGCGAGCGCAGGCGGUUUAAUAAGUCUGAAGUUAAAGGCAGUGGCUUAACCAUUGUUCGCUUUGGAAACUGUUAAACUUGAGUGCAGAAGGGGAGAGUGGAAUUCCAUGUGUAGCGGUGAAAUGCGUAGAUAUAUGGAGGAA